rnacentral:piRNA from 1 species
UAAGUGCCAUUAUCACAUAAUGCUGUUUGUCC